rnacentral:lncRNA from 1 species
CCUUACCAUGGCAGUGAUGGUAUAUGCCUUCUCUCAAAAUAUGUGGUAUUUGUGGUAUAAGGCAUAGUGACAUUGCCUUCUCUCUCACCCUACUCUAAUAAGGCUUUAAUAUCUGGGGCUCAUAGGUGGGAGAUAAAAUAUAUAUACUCACAAGACAUUUAUUGUAUAGUCAAACCAUGGAUCCAAAGAAACAAAUCAAUAAGCCAAAUCAAGAUGUGCAUGUGUGGCGAAUGGAUGGUGUAUGGUGAUGAUAGUGAUAACAAUGGUGAGAGUCUAAUUCUACUUUUGCUCUUUUGAGGGGAUACAUACCUUUCUUGCUCUUUGAAACUUUUGGCGGAGAAUGAGAUGCUCUGUAUUUUCUUUUCUCUCAGGUGGGUAUCUUGUACCCCUAAUUCUACUGUCGGACACUUGUCCAUUUUUACCUCUCGUCUCACUUUUUCUUUUCUUUCAAGGUUCCGGGCACUUGCCCCUUUUUAUUUCCUCGUAUCUUUCUUUUUUUUAGAGCACUCAUCUCUUGAGAUAAUAUAGCAAGUGGCAGUAACCAAGAUAACUUGAGCAUUUAUUUCAUAGGGGAAAAGAAAUAUUUUUGGCUAUUCUCUCCUGGAUUAGGAGUAGAAUAUUUUUGGGUGGUUCUGGAGAUGGAAAUGGAUGGAUAUAUGUGGAUGCG